AUUGAACGCUGGCGGCAGGCUUAACACAUGCAAGUCGAGCGGGGUGAUGGUGCUUGCACUAUCACUUAGCGGCGGACGGGUGAGGAAUGCUUAGGAAUCUGCCUAUUAGUGGGGGACAACAUCUCGAAAGGGAUGCUAAUACCGCAUACGUCCUACGGGAGAAAGCAGGGGAUCACUUGUGACCUUGCGCUAAUAGAUGAGCCUAAGUCGGAUUAGCUAGUUGGUGGGGUAAAGGCCUACCAAGGCGACGAUCUGUAGCGGGUCUGAGAGGAUGAUCCGCGACACUGGGACUGAGACACGGCCCAGACUCCUACGGGAGGCAGCAGUGGGGAAUAUUGGACAAUGGGGGGAACCCUGAUCCAGCCAUGCCGCGUGUGUGAAGAAGGCCUUAUGGUUGUAAAGCACUUUAAGCGAGGAGGAGGCUCUUUUGGUUAAUACCCAAGAUGAGUGGACGUUACUCGCAGAAUAAGCACCGGCUAACUCUGUGCCAGCCGCCGCAGUAA
rnacentral:rRNA from 1 species